rfam:Culex pipiens quinquefasciatus supercont3.273 genomic scaffold, whole genome shotgun sequence.
AAAACGGCCCUUUUCAGGGCCACUACAUAUUCACGAAAGAGUUAUU